GACGAACGCUGGCGGCGUGCCUAAUACAUGCAAGUUGAGCGCUGAAGGUUGGUACUUGUACCAACUGGAUGAGCAGCGAACGGGUGAGUAACGCGUGGGGAAUCUGCCUUUGAGCGGGGGACAACAUUUGGAAACGAAUGCUAAUACCGCAUAAAAACUUUAAACACAAGUUUUAAGUUUGAAAGAUGCAAUUGCAUCACUCAAAGAUGAUCCCGCGUUGUAUUAGCUAGUUGGUGAGGUAAAGGCCCACCAAGGCGAUGAUACAUAGCCGACCUGAGAGGGAGAUCGGCCACAUUGGGACUGAGAAACGGCCCAAACUCCUACGGGAGGGAGCAGUAGGGAAUCUUCGGAAAUGGACGAAAGUCUGACCGAGCAACGCCGCGUGAGGGAAGAAGGUUUUCGGAUCGUAAAACUCUGUUGGUAGGGGAGAACGGUGGUGAGGGUGGAAAGCUCAUCAAGUGACGGUAACUACACAGAAAGGGACGGCUAACUACGUG
rnacentral:rRNA from 1 species